rnacentral:rRNA from 1 species
CCUACGGGGGGCUGCAGUGGGGAAUCUUGCGCAAUGGACGAAAGUCUGACGCAGCGACGCCGCGUGGGUGAUGAAGGCCUUCGGGUUGUAAAGCCCUGUGGGGAGAGAAGAAUAAGUGCGGGCUAAUACCCCGCAUGAUGACGGUAUCUCCUUAGCAAGCACCGGCUAACUCUGUGCCAGCAGCCGCGGUAAGACAGAGGGUGCAAACGUGGGUCGGAAUUGCUUGGCGGCGGUCUGGUGUAGCGGGUGUGAAAGCCCCGGGCUCAACCCGGGAAGUGCACUCGAUACUGUUAGGCUAGAGUACUGGAGAGGUUGGUGGAAUUCUCGGUGUAGAGGUGAAAUUCGUAGAUAUCGAGAGGAACACCGGUGGCGAAGGCGGCCAACUGGACAGAUACUGACGCUGAGACACGAAAGCGUGGGGAGCAAACAGGAUUAGAUACCCCAGUAGUC